CCUACGGGAGGCAGCAGUGGGGAAUCUUGCGCAAUGGGCGAAAGCCUGACGCAGCCAUGCCGCGUGAAUGAUGAAGGUCUUAGGAUUGUAAAAUUCUUUCAGUAGGGACGAUAAUGACGGUACCUACAGAAGAAGCCCCGGCUAACUUCGUGCCAGCAGCCGCGGUAAUACGAAGGGGGCUAGCGUUGCUCGGAAUUACUGGGCGUAAAGGGAGCGUAGGCGGGUUAUCAAGUUGGGAGGUGAAACGCCCGAGGGCUCAACCGUUGGAAUUGCCUUCAAAACUGAUAGCCUAGAGUAUGAUAGAGGUAUGUGGAACUCCGAGUGUAGAGGUGAAAUUCGUAGAUAUUCGGAAGAACACCAGUGGCGAAGGCGACAUACUGGGUCAUGACUGACGCUGAGGCUCGAAAGCGUGGGGAGCAAACAGGAUUAGAUACCCGUGGUAGUCCACGCUGUAAACCGAUGAUUGCUAGUUGUCGGACGGCAUGUCGUCGGUGCGCNGACUACGACAUAGACACUCCGCCGUGGGUAGGUACGGUCGCGAGAAUAACUAACGAAGAAGUAGACGCGNGAGACGACCGACGGACGACGACGAGGGAGGUAGG
rnacentral:rRNA from 1 species